UAGGGAAUCUUCCGCAAUGGACGAAAGUCUGACGGAGCAACGCCGCGUGAGUGAAGAAGGAUUUCGGUUCGUAAAACUCUGUUGUUAGGGAAGAAAAAAUGUAUAGUAACUAUAUACAAAAGAGACGGUACCUAACCAGAAAGCCACGGCUAACUACGUGCCAGCAGCCGCGGUAAUACGUAGGUGGCAAGCGUUGUCCGGAAUUAUUGGGCGUAAAGCGCGCGCAGGUGGUUUAGAAAGUCUGAUGUGAAAGCCCACGGCUCAACCGUGGAGGGUCAUUGGAAACUAAUAAACUUGAGUGCAGGAGAGAAAAGUGGAAUUCCUAGUGUAGCGGUGAAAUGCGUAGAGAUUAGGAGGAACACCGGUGGCGAAAGCGGCUUUUUGGCCUGCAACUGACACUGAGGCGCGAUAGCGUGGGGAGCAAACAGG
rnacentral:rRNA from 1 species